UACGUAGGGGGCAAGCGUUAUCCGGAUUUACUGGGUGUAAAGGGAGCGCAGGCGGCGGGACAAGUCAGAAGUGAAAUCCCCGGGCUCACCCCGGGGGCUGCUUUUGAAACUGUUCUGCUAGAUUCCAGGAGAGGUAAGCGGAAUUCCUAGUGUAGCGGUGAAAUGCGUAGAUAUUAGGAGGAACACCAGUGGCGAAGGCGGCUUACUGGACUGGCAAUGACGCUCAGGCUCGAAAGCGUGGGGAGCAAACAGGAUUAGAUACCCCUGUAGUCCCUGAG
rnacentral:rRNA from 1 species